UACGAAGGGGGCUAGCGUUGCUCGGAAUUACUGGGCGUAAAGGGAGCGUAGGCGGGUUGACAAGUUGGAGGUGAAAGCCCAGGGCUCAACCCUGGAAUUGCCUUCAAAACUGUCAGCCUUGAGUAUGGAAGAGGUAAGUGGAACUCCGAGUGUAGAGGUGAAAUUCGUAGAUAUUCGGAAGAACACCAGUGGCGAAGGCGACUUACUGGUCCAUGACUGACGCUGAGGCUCGAAAGCGUGGGGAGCAAACAGGAUUAGAAACCCGGGUAGUCC
rnacentral:rRNA from 1 species